AGCAGCAUGGCGCAGAUGGAAGCGCGCGGGGCCCAUAUUUCAUAUGAUACCCCGAGGUCACUCGAUCGAAACGAGUUGCUGCUA